rnacentral:rRNA from 1 species
ACGGCCGCGGUACCCUAACCGUGCAAAGGUAGCACAAUCACUUGUUCUUUAAAUCAGGACUAGUAUGAACGGCCCCACGAGGGCUAUGCUGUCUCCCCCCUCUAAUCAGUGAAACUGACCCCCUCGUGAAGAAGCGAGGAUAAUCUCAUAAGACGAGAAGACCCCAUGGAACUUUAAACUAGUACCACCCCCCCCACCAACCCCCCCC